rnacentral:rRNA from 1 species
CCUACGGGUGGCAGCAGUCGAGAAUCAUUCACAAUGGGGGAAACCCUGAUGGUGCGACGCCGCGUGGGGGAAUGAAGGUCUUCGGAUUGUAAACCCCUGUCAUGUGGGAGCAAAUUAAAAAGAUAGUACCACAAGAGGAAGAGACGGCUAACUCUGUGCCAGCAGCCGCGGUAAUACAGAGGUCUCAAGCGUUGUUCGGAAUCACUGGGCGUAAGGCGUGCGUAGGCUGUUUCGUAAGUCGUGUGUGAAAGGCGCGGGCUCAACCCGCGGACGGCACAUGAUACUGCGAGACUAGAGUAAUGGAGGGGGAACCGGAAUUCUCGGGGUAGCAGUGAAAUGCGUAGAUAUCGAGAGGAACACUCGUGGCGAAGGCGGGUUCCUGGACAUUAACUGACGCUGAGGCACGAAGGCCAGGGGAGCGAAAGGGAUUAGAUACCCUGGUAGUC